rnacentral:rRNA from 1 species
GACGAACGCUGGCGGCGUGCCUAACACAUGCAAGUCGAGCGAAGUGAGUACUACGGUACGAACUUAGCGGCGGACGGGUGAGUAACGCGUGGACAAUCUACCCCGUAGACUGGGAUAACACCUCGAAAGGGGUGCUAAUACCGGAUAAUGUCGAGAAGCGGCAUCGCUUUUCGAAGAAAGGAGAGAAUCCGCUAUAGGAGGAGUCCGCGUCCCAUUAGCUAGUUGGUGAGGGUAACGGCCCACCAAGGCGACAAUGGGUAGCCGGCCUGAGAGGGUGAACGGCCACACUGGAACUGAGACACGGUCCAGACUCCUACGGGAGGCAGCAGUGGGGAAUAUUGUGCAAUGGGGGAAACCCUGACACAGCAACGCCGCGUGAGCGAAGAAGACCUUCGGGUUGUAAAGCUCAAUAGUAUGGGAAGAUAAUGACGGUACCAUACGAAAGCCCCGGCUAACUACGUGCCAGCCGCCGCAGUAAAAC